rnacentral:rRNA from 1 species
GAGGAAUAUUGGUCAAUGGGCGUAAGCCUGAACCAGCCAAGUCGCGUGAGGGAUGAAGGUUCUAUGGAUCGUAAACCUCUUUUAUAAGGGAAUAAAGUGCGGGACGUGUCCCGUUUUGUAUGUACCUUAUGAAUAAGGAUCGGCUAACUCCGUGCCAGCAGCCGCGGUAAUACGGAGGAUCCGAGCGUUAUCCGGAUUUAUUGGGUUUAAAGGGUGCGUAGGCGGCCUUUUAAGUCAGCGGUGAAAGUCUGUGGCUCAACCAUAGAAUUGCCGUUGAAACUGGGAGGCUUGAGUAUGUUUGAGGCAGGCGGAAUGCGUGGUGUAGCGGUGAAAUGCUUAGAUAUCACGCAGAACCCCGAUUGCGAAGGCAGCCUGCCAAGCCAUGACUGACGCUGAUGCACGAAAGCGUGGGGAUCAAAC